GUAAUGGUGAAAUAAUGUAUAUAUUUUUAAAAGUGAAAACAUGAGUAGGACAAGGAGGUGAGUUGACAUUGUUUACAGUGUGUCUCGUUGUAAGCACUUUUUUUUUUUUACAUUUCUCUGUUCAGUGAGUGAAACUUGUAGAACGCUUGAACCCAUAUGCUGUGGUUUCAUGACUAGUUGGCCAUUUCCCCAUAGCAGGAAACAGAACUGUCUGAGCGUAAUGACAACUACACAUUCAUUUCAUGCCAAACUUUCUAGUUUACAAACAUGUCCUCACCCCAUACUCUGAGAGUUUUAACAUCUACUGGUGGGCUUCCCAUGUGGAUGAUGCUUCUUCACCUCGACAUAAGCUAUGUUGUUGCAGAAGACAUCAGAGUAGUUGGACGUGUAGGAAACUCCAUAUUCCUUCACCCUAAAAUGCACUUACACGCCAAGAUCUCUGACAUAAGAUGGAAACAUGAUAAUACAGAUAUGUUAAUAGCUAGAAAUGGUACGCUUGUUAAUUUAAUGGAUAGGUGUGAGAUCUUUCUAAAUGGUUCACUGAAGUUUCAAGAAGGACUGAAAAGAGACAGUGGAAAUUAUACUGUUCAACAAUACAGUGAAAAUGGAGGCUGUUUAUCCGAGCGGCACAUUGAGCUCAGUAUUCUAGAACCUGUUUCCAAACCAAAGGUGAGAACCUCCUGUACUUUUGAUGGGAGAGUUGUUCUGACCUGCUCUGUUGAUAAAGGAGACAGAGUUGUGAUGAUCUGGACCGAGCAGCCAUUUGCCUGGACAGGGUCCAAUCAGACCCUGGGCUCAGGUCCUGUUCUAUUCCUGGACAGCCAUACGCCUGGAAACCUGACCUGUGUGGCAAUGAACGAAAUAAGUGAGGAAGGCUUCAGCCCAGUUGUCCCAACAUGCAGAGGUCACAGGUCAGCUGUGGCUGCAUUUGGUCUCUUUGCAUUUGCACUGACGACACUGGCCGUCGCCAUUCUACAUUUGAAGAAGAGGCGUCAGAAAAAGAGAAAAGGUCAAAGUCAGACUGAAUAUGUGGAGGAGAACAACUACAUUGAGAUGAGUGGGGAUUUAUGCAACAAAUGGCCACAGGAGGAGACCACAAUCCACCCGGACCAAGACACCUCCCAUUACGGUAACUCACAGUAGAGAAUGACACAGUACAUUCCUAUAACAGUUUAUUAAGGGAUAGUUAAGACUUAAAGUUAGUGCAUUCAUCUUAAGGUAGUUGGUGAGACAACCACAUAUCACAGUCAUUUCAUCAUAGUUUGUGUACAGUAACAAGUGUUUUAUUUUAACACCGCUUUAUGAUUAUGAAUGUAUAUUGUGUACGAUGUUGAAAUUGUCUUUCCGCAGAAUUCUGCAGACCUCUUGCAUCUGCUUCCAGCCAGAGAAAGGGACGACUAUCACUGGAGUUGAAUGAUAUCUAUGUAUGAAGAACAAUGUGUUAAUGGCAUUUCAAUAGCAUCGAUUUGUUUUCCAAUGUGAAGUAUGCACCUACGCACCAUAAUUACUGAUCAGUUUUUACAAUUCAUUAUGGUGUAUUUCUGCGAUAGAUGUAAUUUUGUUGCAUAGUCGUAGAGCCUAGAGAAGCGACAUAUAGGGCAUUAUUUCACCUGUAUUUUGAUAUUGUAUCAUACCCGUACUGACUUCAUUAUCAGACUGGACCACUAGGUGGAAGCAUUACAGUAUGAUAAAGAAACAGGGUGACGAGAGGUGAGAAGAAACAUCACAGGAUUACUGUCAUUACAUCAAUAGUUUGUUUCAAAACAUAUGGACGCUGCUGGGACGACUGUAAAUUAUUCCAUUUCAAACUGUUCUAGUUAUUAUUGUCUAAUGUUUGUUUAACUUCAAAAUGUCCAUAUAAAAGACUCCUGAGUGGCACAGCGGUCUAAGGCACUGUUUCUCAGUGCUAGAGGUGUCACUACAGACCCUGGUUUGAUUCCAGGCUGUAUCACAACCGGCUGUUAUUGGGAGUCCCAUAGGGUGGUGCACAAUUGGCACAGCCUUGUCUGGGUUAGGAUUUGGCCGGGGUAGGCUGUCAUUGUAAAUAAGAAUUUGUUCUUAACUGACUUUUCUAGAUAAAUAAAUAGUAUAGCCAGGGUUCUCUGUUUCUGGAUAGCUACCCUCCUGUAGGUUUUCAAUCCAAAUCUCACUUAGCACACCUGAUUCUACUAAUUAGUUGGUUGAUAAUCAGAAUCAGGUUAGUUACAACUGGGGUUGGAGUGGAAACCUACAGGAAGGUAGCUAGCUCUCCAGUAACAGGGUUGGAGUGGAAACCUACAGGAAGGUAGCUAGCUCUCCAGUAACAGGGUUGGAGUGGAAACCUACAGGAAGGUAGCUAGCUCUCCAGUAACAGGGUUGGAGUGGAAACCUACAGGAAGGUAGCUAGCUCUCCAGUAACAGGGUUGGAGUGGAAACCUACAGGAAGGUAGCUAGCUCUCCAGUAACAGGGUUGGAGNNNNNNNNNNUUGCAUAGUCGUAGAGCCUAGAGAAGCGACAUAUAGGGCAUUAUUUCACCUGUAUUUUGAUAUUGUAUCAUACCCGUACUGACUUCAUUAUCAGACUGGACCACUAGGUGGAAGCAUUACAGUAUGAUAAAGAAACAGGGUGACGAGAGGUGAGAAGAAACAUCACAGGAUUACUGUCAUUACAUCAAUAGUUUGUUUCAAAACAUAUGGACGCUGCUGGGACGACUGUAAAUUAUUCCAUUUCAAACUGUUCUAGUUAUUNNNNNNNNNNGGUUGGAGUGGAAACCUACAGGAAGGUAGCUAGCUCUCCAGUAACAGGGUUGGAGUGGAAACCUACAGGAAGGUAGCUAGCUCUCCAGUAACAGGGUUGGAGUGGAAACCUACAGGAAGGUAGCUAGCUCUCCAGUAACAGGGUUGGAGUGGAAACCUACAGGAAGGUAGCUAGCUCUCCAGUAACAGGGUUGGAGAGCCCUGGCACUACAUACUACACUCAUUACAUUGUUCAAGUCACCAGUCCAGUUUCAUUACAGGUGAUGUUAGAAUGAAGAAUGCAAAAACAUGUAAAUAUUCUUACAAGUUUUUUUUAAAGUGUCAAAUAAACUACAUAUGCAUACAUGUAAUUGUUAUAUUUGUACUGUAUGAAUUGCAAUGUCCUGAAGACAACACUAGCAUAAUGUCACCUAUCUACAGUAUAUAGUCAAUUCCCC
rnacentral:lncRNA from 13 species